rnacentral:lncRNA from 1 species
CCCCCCCUGCCCUCCUCCACCGCCCCUCAGGGGUCCCGCCAGCCCCCAGGUUCCACCGCCCCUCAGGGGUCCCGCCAGCCCCCAGGUUCCACCGCCCCUCAGGGGCCCGCCCCUCAGCGCUCCGCCGCUCGCCGCUGGCAGCGAGGGGCCCGGGGGUCUGCGGGCAGCGCCUCCGAGCCCGAGCCGCGUCCCAGGGGCCCACAGGGAGCCGCCCUGUCCUGCCUUGUGUGUGAGAGCUAAGGUUUUGGACGUGGCGAGUUCGGCCUUGGUGCAAGAUGCUGACCGCGAUACCCAGGUGCUCUGUGGUGUUUCGGGACGUAGAAGAGUCACUUUCCAGCUCUGCUCAGACGGACAAGAUCAAGAGAAUGGCUUCCUCGUUGGAGUUUUCUUCCCUAAAUCUGUGAAUUGUUUUCAGUAUUCUUGUAGCGCAGGCUGCUGUUUUGCUCCAACACAAUAUCGGUAG